GGGAUUGUGGCUCAGCGGUAGAGCGCUCACUUAGCACGAGCGGGACCACUGGGUUUGAUUCUCAGCAUCACA
rnacentral:tRNA from 1 species